rnacentral:lncRNA from 1 species
AUUAAGGGUUAACACCAGGUAUUCAAUGAGCUGCCUAGACCCUGUGGGGAAGGAGAUGAGGAGACGACAAUGAGAGGGUGGGGAGAUCAAACCAAAUACUAUUGUCACUGUUGCCCAAGUCACAGUGAUUUCCAUGGUCAGGGGCUGGGAUCUGGGACAUUCCGAUUUCUUACUAUGCUAUCAGUGAGGACUAGGUUAGCUCCUUUCCCCUUCCUGCCGCCUGUGCUUACCCCUACUGAGCUCCCCAUGAGGCCUCCAUCUUUUCUUCUUCCUGCCUCCUGUGCUUACCCCUACUGAGCUCCCCACGAGGCCUCUGUGUUUUCUUAGCCGUGAGUCUGACUCUCCACUGAACUCCAUUUUCAUCUCCAGGUUCAUUCCUUUGCUGGUGAUGUGCCAUCACAUGCUCCAACUGUACUUGCCACCAGGGAAAUUGGAACUGCCCCAUUCCUGGAGUUCUAGUGCUCUUGAGCCCCAGGCAUUCCAUGAGAGAAGCCUCCUUCUGGAAAGUCCCAUGAGCACCUCAUGCCGGGUGGUCAGACGUGCACCAAGGGCUGAUAGUGUGAAGUGGUGUGGGCAGGGGGAGACACAGACCCUGGGCAGGAAUCAAAGAUAAAGCUUCUAUCCACAUAACAGGCAGAUUGUCCAGAUGUCCCACGCAAGGGCCUGGAAGAGAUGAGGUUGCAGGCAGACCAAGGAGAAGGUGGAGGAAGGGAGGGGAGGAAGUACUGAAACAGAGCUCUUAGAAAGAUGUUCACUGCUGGGCAACACCAUCACCUCCUCUAGAAGGCAUGGAUAGCACCAAGUAAGUGUGAGAGCUUUGCCAUCACCCUUCCAGGCAAUUUGCUUUUAGUGUCUUUGUAACACUUGGAGUUUGCAUCUUACUCAAAAUCUCUCCCCGGUCUGCUUCCCUGGCAAAGUCUGUCUUGCUUUUUGCAUCUUUGCCCCCUCUAUAACUCCUACAUCCCUUAGGAACCUGGUCUUCCUGGGAAAGCGUCUUCCACACAUACCCCACCUCCACCUGCCAUCUCACCCGCUACACACACUCAAAAAUUCCCCAGCCCCUCAAACAGGGGGUAAGAGGAAUCCCUUAGGACAAAAAGGUGCAUCUCCUACCUGAAGAGCAACCUGGAUUCUGCAGACUGAGGGAGGCGGCUCUGCUUCAGGGCUCUGCAGUCUCUGAAGUAAAAUGAGAUUCAAAGCUGGGAGGAGAAGGGUCAUGGUCAGCUGCCCCUUCCACACUCCCACGCUGAGCCUCAGCAUCUCUCCUGCCUGAGUGGUAGCCCUGUCCAAAUGCCUAGGGCCUGGGCCGUUGAGGAUUAGGCCUGAACCCAGUAAUCCCCAAGGAGCUGCAGAAAGCCGACUUGAUGGGUCUCCUGGUGAUAUCAUUGCAGCCAGAGAGCACACACAGGGUGCAAGCAGUCAGAUGAGACAGCCAGGACAGGAGGGGCUGCAGCCCUUCCACAACACCACAAAGACCCUCACAUGCUCAUUUUGGCAGGGCGCAGUGGCUCACACAUGUAAUCCCAACACUUUGGGUGGCUGAGGUGGAGGAUCACUUGAGCCCGGGAGUUUGAGACCACUCUGGGCGACAUAGUGAGACCCCAUCUUUACAAAACAUAAAGUUAAAAACAUUAGCUGGGCAUGGUGGCAUUGCUCCGGUAGUUCCAGCUACUUGAGAGGCUAAGGUAGGAGAAUGGUUUGAGCCCAGGAGUUUGAGGCUGCAGUGAGCUAUGAUUGCGCCACUGCACCACUCCAGCCUGAGCAACGAGUGAGAUCUUGUCUAAAAACAAAACAAAACAAAAAGCUCAUUUUUAAAUGUUUAUUAUUUUUGUUUUUUGUUUUAAAUAGCGAUGAGUUGCCCAUGCUGGCCUCAAACUCUUGAGCGAGAGUGAUCCUCCUGCCUUGGCCUCCCAAAGUGCUGGGAUUACAGGUGUGAGCCACCACACCCAGCCAGAAAGUUCUUUUUAAAAGGGGAGAAACAACAGCUCCAGAAGGGGCUUUGAUAAAUUAUUUAAUUUAAAAAAAUCAAAUUAAAGUAAAGAGGGUAAAGAGCUGGGUGAAAGCGAGCUAGGUGAAGAGCUUGCGUGUCCAUCCUCCUGCCGAGAUGUGGUGAGCUUGCCCUCAUCCCAUCAGCUGGACAGCUCUCCACUGAGCCUACCCAUUCACCAUGAUUCUUGCUUUUCCUCAGCUAAGGCCCUGGGUGCAGGCUUAGCACUGUGGGGGGCCUCUGGGAUGAUGAGAUGUUCUCAUUAAUUCCUCAGGCAGCAGUGUUUGCAGUUGGGAGACAUGACUUCCAUCCCGCUCCUUAUAAAGUCAUAUGUUUUUCUUGAAUAAAUGCUAAAUCAAACUAGUCUUUCUGUUUUUUCCCCUCAAUUCAUAACCUCAUCAUUCCACAAAUAAAAUGAUGCCUUCAAAACCCACAGACUGUUUUGCAGGGUGGUCUGGGAGAGAUGCCGCCUGAGCCGGCCUAUGGCUCCAAACUCAUCGCUGGAAGAUCACAGCUGCCCUCUCCCCGGCCACUCUCUUUUCAUGAGGAAAGGUGAGCCCGGCUGCCCUUGGUCUCCCCCAGGCCUGCUUACAUUAAAGGGUUGGGAGUUAGCCUCCUGCCCUGAAAGGAAUAGGGGUUCUGGAGUAUCUCAGAUCCGUAUCAAAUCACAGCUUUGCCGCAUAAUUGCCCUCUGCUCUUGGGAACUUUCUCAACUUCUGUAAGCUUCUGUUUUCUUAUCAGUAAAAGGGAGAUAACAAUACCUAUCUCGAGGCACUGUUAUGAUAAAAGACCUGUCAUAAAAUAAAUGCUUAGAAAAUGGGAACUAUUAUUGUUCAAGUUUUAUUAUAUUUCCUCAAUCGUUAUUCUCUCCGUUUACAUAAUUGAAGUAAAACACUGCUCAUUAGAGUGUGCAGGUAAUAGAGGACUUGGCUUAAAUAAAUUUUCUGCCUAAAUUAAGUCUUUUAAAACCAUCCAUUUUCACUUUUAGGUCAUGGUGUAGAAAAUAAUUCUAGAUCAAGUUAGAAUAUGUUCCGACCUCAGCAAGCAACCACGUACUUUGAUUAUGUAGCACCCUUCAUUAUUCUAAGGAGUUCUCAUUAUACAGGAAGGAAGGGGAAAAUCACAGAGUAAAACCAGAUGCUUUUGUAAAUUGAUGAAGAUGUUUGCUGCAUGUGGCUCCAAGAGAUUGAAAUUAAAAGGGCAGGCUGGGUGCAGUGGCUCACGCCUGUAAUCCCCACUUUGGGAGUCCGAGGCAGGUGGAUCACGAGGUCAGG